UACGUAGGCAGCGAGCGUUGUUCGGAAUUACUGGGCGUAAAGAGUGUGUAGGCGGUGCUCUAAGUUCGGUGUGAAAUCUCCCGGCUUAACUGGGAGGGUGCGCCGGAAACUGGAGUGCUCGAGCGUGGGAGAGGAAAGCGGAAUUCCUGGUGUAGCGGUGAAAUGCGUAGAUAUCAGGAGGAACACCUGCGGUGUAGACGGCUUUCUGGACCACUGCUGACGCUGAGACACGAAAGCGUGGGUAGCAAACAGG
rnacentral:rRNA from 1 species